GUACUGAUGAAGAGUCCCAGAAUAGGACGAAAUGGUUGUCCAGUAC
rnacentral:hammerhead_ribozyme from 1 species